rnacentral:lncRNA from 1 species
AUGUGUACGAGUGUCUCCGCCGCUGUCUCAGUGCUCUGGGCUUCGGCGACGUCCGGAGCGAGUUCGAGGGUCACCUCCAGAAACUCGCAGAAACUGGAAGAGGGUGAUGGGAGGACACACACACCUCCUUCCUCGGAAGGACUUGGAAGACUUUGCAUCUCCCCUCCCCCACUUUUCCGCCUGGCUCUUCUUUUGUUGUCAAGUCCUUUUGAUAAAUGGUGGGACCGGGAGCCUGGAGUCCGCCUGUGCCGCUCGGGGCGGGGGCCGAGGCUGGAGGCCGGGUUUCGACUAGCGGGCACCGGGAGGGGAGCUGGGUGCGCGCGGGGGUCUGGACUGCCCUCGAGAGCUCGUCCUGUCCUCUCGAGCUACUCCAUUCCCUUUCCCUUUCUGUCUCCCACCCUCAAGGGUACCGAGAACUUUGUGGGAAUCCACGGAUUUCUCUGGCUGUCGUUUGUGCUGAAUUUAUCCAAAUUUGAAUUUAUUCAAAGCCAGCAAUCAGGCAUCCAGCAGAACCAGCUUUCUACUGGCAAGUACUGUACACUACGCCUCGCCUGGCCAGGGGUGAGGGGGUGGCUCUUGGGGCACAGGGGUGGCGAGUAUCAUCUCCGAGGUCAGAUGUACCAAAGGUGCCCUCAGGCCCAGCAGUCUCUCGCUGCCCAGCAGUGUCUGGCCGCCCCUGCUUUGCCUAACACCCAAAACAAGCCAGGCCAAGUCCGCUCUCAGCGAAAACUGAAAGGAAACUCUACUGCAGGCGUAGCCCGAAGUUUCUUUGAAGCAAGUUUGCAACUGAGAUUAUUGACGGCUUUGGGAGGACAGCGGGCUCAUGUGAGCGCUCUCCCGGUGGGGUGGGGUCUAAGAAGGGCACCGGGUGCCCUGUCGUGGCCCUAGGUGAAAACACUAGGGAAGCCCGCCGCUCCUUCGAAACUCUUCGGCUCUGGAUGGUAAAAAGAAAGAAAGUUUCCAAGCUACCACGGACAACCUGCAUGGAUCUCGCUAGGGGGGCAACGGGAGGGGGCUGGCUUUGGAAAAGUUGCUGAAAGCCCUGCUCAGAAACGUCACCCUAUGAAACUCAAAAAAACUUAGGACCAGUUUGCCUUCCUUGAGACAGAGUGGUCAGGAAUCAGGCUGGGCAGCCCUCUGCCCACUUCUCAACCCUCACCUCUAGCAAGAGGUCAAAGAACCACCACCGCCAGCGUUGCAAACUUUCAGCUCUGCGCUGCCAACCGCGAACAAGGCCUGGACACAGAGGGAUGGGAGAGACCACCCCCGGCAGGAUGGGAGGAUGAGCGCGGUUCCCCCUAGUUUGUUCCGGGCCCCAGAGUCCAUCCCCCAACCCUAGGCAUUCGGCGCUUUUCCCGGGAGCUGCGGAUUGGGGAGCCUGGUGAGGGGCGCAAAGUGCACGCGCGGACUGGCGCGGGGGCGGCUGCUCGUCAGGCUGCUCGUCUCGCCGCGGGGCCUGUCGCCGGGCUGGCCGCGGCGGGUGAGUGAUGAGGGCAGAGAAGGGCGCCCAUAAAUCGUGGGUGUCAGGGCGAAAAACUCUCUUUAUUGUCUGCGUGAUGGAUGGGCCCGGGGACGAGACACCAAAUACUUCGUAUCGCCUUUAAAUGGGAACACAUUUUCCGCGGCCAUAAUUCAUGUUUUUUAAAUAGAAAGUUUGAAAUGUUGCCUAUAUUUCACCGGCCCUGACAUAUUUAUGAAUCGCUCCUUGCAUGCAAAUAUCAUUAUUUAAAGUGCCAGGGAGAGCACGGGGGAGGGGGUAAGGCGCGGCCCCGGGGCGUAGGGGUGGUGAACCGGGGAGAUGUCGGUGGAGGGGGGACAUCUCCCUAAAGGGAAGAGGAUGGAGCGUGGGGGAAAGCCGUGUUUGGAAGCUGAGCGCACCCUGGGGCUUCUCUUCUGCCGCCAGACAGUGCGCUGCCACAGUAGGGUGGUGGGGAGCGCGGUUUGGGGUGCAAAACAAGCCCCAGUCUCCUGCCCCUAGACCAGAAGAUAUUUUGGGUCUCUCUCCAGAGGACUGGAUCCAAACUGAAGCCACCUUUUCCAAGAAGUAAAAAAAAAAAAAAAAAAAAAAAAAAAAAAAAGAAUAAUUUAACAAACGCAAAUAAUAACCCAACAUCUUUCAUGUUCUUUGCUAUUGCAUUGAUUUUAUUGAUUUUCAUUCUGCAAAACUGGGAUUGUGCGCACCCGGACCAGGCGGCAGCCAGAAACCAGUCACCGCAGGGGGUAGGUGGGGGGGAUAAGCCUCGGGUACCACCGCCCCAUCCGCCCCCACCCAGCCGCCUCAACGUCUCCCAGGCACAAUGGAGAUUGCGCAAGACGCGGGACACAGAUGACCCGGCCCCCCAGCUCCGGGGCUUUAGUCCCUCCCCUUCUUUGCCCCAGUGCACCGCAGAGCUUCCAGGGUCCGCAGCUACCCUCCCGGACCCCCUACGGUCAGAAUGAUCGCUUUGGAAAAAAAGCCAAGCCCAGGCCGUCGCUUAUUCCCAGUCAUCCUGCCCUGGAAGCGCCUACACCUGCGCCCUUACUUGCCAAGACUUUACCUGUGCGGUCCCGAGCCGCGCCUGCGGCCGCGCAGAUUACACAAAAAUGGUAGGGAGGGUGGGAGAGUGGGUGGGUCAGAGAGCAACACCCGAGAGGGCCAGAGGCGCGGACCCAGGUGAGUCAGUGUGGACCCGAUGCUGGGGCCCUGGCCCAACCGGUUAGCGGAGCCGAAUUGCACGGGGAAGAUCCGGCUCGAGGAAGGACGAAGGCAACAAGGCUGGGGAAGUAGGGGCGGUCCCAGAGGCACUUCCGCUGGAGGUGGGGCUGCGGACUGAACCGCUGA